rnacentral:misc_RNA from 1 species
AACGCAUCUUGCGCCCGGUGGUAUUCCGCCGGGCAUGCCUGUCUGAGUGUCAUUACUAUCUCAACCCUAGCGAUGUUGUCAUGACGUUGCUAAGCGGAUUGGAACCUGGACUUGGCGGGGUUCGCCCUGCCGGUCUUAAAUGGAGUAGGCUAGCCGACUAUCAGCGGUUUGACCGGGUGUUGUAGAGUCGCCUCACUCGGGACGCUGAUCGGAUUAGUUGGAUUGUAAUUGUAUUACUCGAGCGAUUUAGACCUCAGAUCAGGUAGGAUUACCCGCUGAACUUAA